GACGAACGCUGGCGGCGUGCCUAAUACAUGCAAGUCGAGCGAAGUUUUUUGGUGCUUGCACUAGAAAAACUUAGCGGCGAACGGGUGAGUAACACGUAAAGAACCUGCCUCAUAGACUGGGACAACUAUUGGAAACGAUAGCUAAUACCGGAUAACAGCAUUAACUGCAUGGUUGAUGUUUGAAAGUUGGUUAUGCUAACACUAUGAGAUGGCUUUGCGGUGCAUUAGCUAGUUGGUGGGGUAAAGGCCCACCAAGGCGACGAUGCAUAGCCGACCUGAGAGGGUGAUCGGCCACACUGGGACUGAGACACGGCCCAGACUCCUACGGGAGGCAGCAGUAGGGAAUCUUCCGCAAUGGGCGAAAGCCUGACGGAGCAACGCCGCGUGAGUGAAGAAGGAUUUCGGUUCGUAAAGCUCUGUUGUUAGGGAAGAAUGGAUAUGUAGUAAACUAUACAUGUAACGAAGACGGACCUAACCA
rnacentral:rRNA from 1 species